AAAGUGGGAACAUUACGACAUAAUAGGGGUAAAUUAAACUCGAUACACUGCAAUGCACAACAAGCCCUUCACCUUUCAAAAUUUGGGUGCGGCAACUUAACUCAGCAUGAUCAACACACUGUCCGGCCAAAGCAGAUUGAGGCAAUAUAGAGAUUCUUGGCCCAUUUUUCCUUUACAUGGUUGCUAGGGAAGGCAGAGGUUCGAAGAGUUUCCUGUGUCUCAUCCAAUAUCUUUCGUUUUGGUAUGCUCAAUAUCAAAGCAGCUUGAUCAGUAGUGGCAGCAGUAGCAGUUAUCCUGUAACCACUUUCCCAUCUUCGGUGAAUUCCUUCACUCGGGUAGAGGAAAUCCAGCUCCACCACCUGUUCAGAGAAACCGG
rnacentral:misc_RNA from 1 species